AAAUGAGUUGCUUCAGCAGAAAACCGAGGUCACGAGAAUAGCGACUUCACUAAAACUGGCUUCUGAAGACGCUAGGAGAAUUGUUGACGAAGAACGAACUAAUGCACGCAUGGAGAUUGAAAAUGCUAGAGCUGUUGUACAAAGAGUUCAAAAAGUACUUAAAGAGAAAGAGAACAGUUCACAAAGAAUUAGAAAGCAGUUGCAGCCCACCUAAUAGGACUGCUUGAUUCCGUCGAGUAUGGAAAAAGUGAAAGGUAUUUUACGGUC